CAGACUGCAGUCUGGUGGAUGGGGCGGAGCGAUACAUUAUUUAUUUACAGAGCGUUUUGUGUGUUCCUAUGAGGUAAAUCUAUGAUAAAUUAGUUUAUUUUUGUUCCUAAAUGACCGAGACAUUUUGAAGAGUUGCUCUGACAAAGCAGCGUCAUUUAAAUAGACGAAAGAGCAACCAGCGCGAUGAAGACAUCUUAAAAAUAGACAUCGAAAUAGACUUCUUUCAUCGUUGAAAAACACCAGGAUUUCUCUUUCCGGACUCAAGAUUUAGACAUCACUGAUAGACAUAUCAGGAUCUUCAGCAAUGCAGCAAAGUGCCUCUGACAUUACUCUUGACAUGCAGGCGUUGCAUAAGGAAGUCUUAAGAAACUCUGUGCUCAACUCAACUCUGCCUAAUUCACUGUUAGGAGGUCAACCUGCACAAGACGUGAUCCAGAGAGGUCACUACACACCCCUCUCAGUGUGUGCGUUUAAGCACAACUUUGAUGAGGUGAAGAGAGGAGAUUGGGAAACUUUAGAAGAUGUCAUGUCUCGAGAAUUUCCACCAGGAUCUGAAGGACGUAGAGUUGUUCUUCAUGGUGGUAUUGGAAUGGGUAAGACUACAGCAGUUGAAAAGAUUAUUUGGGAUUGGACAUCUGGCACACGUCUGCAACAUUACACACUUUUGCUGCGGGUGUGUGUUGAGGAGCUGAGCACUCUUGGAGAGAAAACCGAUAGUUUGUGUAGCUUAUUGAUCCGCACACACUCUCACCUCUCCCCAGAGUCCCUUGUUCUCGCCCUACAGAGGCCUCAGUCGUUACUUCUUUUGCUUGAUGGGCUGAAGAGAUUCCCAAACUUACUAUCUGCUCCACCGCCCACCUCUAGUUUUAUCUGUGAUGUACAGCAUCAAGCAACUGGCACCGUCUUGCUGUACAGUCUGCUUCACGGCUCUCUGCUUCCAGACGUCUCGAUGCUGGUCACAUCCACAGAGUCAAUCAACCUCAAGUCAUUGAGGAGCUUUGAGAUCCUUGGGUUCUCCAAGACCCAGAGGAGAAUGUUCUUCCAGCAGUUCUUUGGUGAUGGAAGCCAAGCAGAGAGAUUUUUCUGGCACAGCGAGCAAGCAUUGGGAGUGUACGAGCAGUAUUUUUGUCCAGCUUUCUGCUGGACACUUUGCAGCGUUUUUAAAACUCAGUUUGAGAGUAAAGAAACCCUACCUGAAACUCUUACCCAUCUCUUCAGCAUUAUUACAAACAUGCUCCUGCAGAAACAGAAGAUGAAUGUCGAGCAAAGCAGAGAGCUUGUGUCUGGUCUGAGCAGACUUGCCUUUAUAAAAUCUACCAAGAGUGAGGUCAUAUCCUGCGGCCUGCUGUCUUUUUUGCACUCUCCAGUUCUGCCUGCUUUCCUAUGCAUCAAUGGUGAUGUCACUUCCCCUGAUACCACAUUCUCCUUCCUGUCUCCAGUGAUGCAAGAGUUCUUAAUGGCUGCCUCCUUUUAUAUUAACCAAUCAGACGUUCUCAAAGAGGCCCUGGAGGAGCGCACGGAUCUGUAUUACACUUUCCUUGCAGGAUUGUCAGACUCUGCCCAACGUAAGCCUAUUGAAGACUCCGUGGGCAGCUUCAACGAAAGCCGCAUCUCUGAGUUCUCUCAAUGGUUGGUGGGCACAGCUUCCGCAGUGUUGCCAGGUUUUGAUAAAAAGCAGCACUAUCGUGUCCUACGUCUUCUACUCCACACACGCAACUCCAGUCUGGUCAAAGAAAGCAUCAGCAAGUGCCCAUGGAGGCAUAGGAGUUACAGUGACAUGCAGGAGUCAGACUGCACUGCACUGUCAUAUGUAGUGAGUUGCGUGGGAGAGCUGGAACAUAUGAACCUGUACGGGGCAUACCUUACAGAUGAGCAGGCAGAGAGACUCCUGCCAGCAUUACGGCUGUCGAAGAGCAUUGGUCUGUCUCAAAGUCGUCUCAGUCUGGGUGCCAUCACUCACCUGGCAACAGCGCUGGCUAAGGGGCGAGCGACUGAGCUGGAUUUGUCCUACGCCAGACUGGAACAUGGAGCAGUCAAAAUAAUAUGUGAUUCACUCACAAACUCCACGCUGCAGUCACUAAUGUUUCGUGUAUGUUCGUUGACUGCUGCUGAUUGUGAAGCACUGGCUGGGAUGCUCUCUGGAGGCUCUAAGCUGCGUGUGCUGGAUCUGUUUGGUAAUGAUCUGCUGGAUCAAGGACUCAUUCAGCUGAGCAGUGUGCUGGGGAACUGCACACUACAUGAAAUCAAUUUGGAUCGUUGCUCACUGACGCAUGCGUCCAUGUCUGCAUUAUCGUCAGCUCUGACCAGUGGUUAUUCAAAGCUUAAGACACUAAAUCUGUCAAGGAACGCAGUGACUGAUGAUGGAAUGGACUGCAUCUCAAAGGCCUUACAGACGGCCCAGUGCCAGCUCAACACUUUGAACGUGUUUGACUGCCAGUUGACUGGCUCCUGCUGCUCCUCUCUGGCAGCUGCCCUCCAAUCAGAACACAGCAGUCUGACUGAACUGGAACUGUCCGUCAAUGAGCUCGGCCAAUCAGGAAUGCUAAUCUGUGAAGCCCUGAAAGCUCCUAAUUGUAUGCUGGAAAAACUGGGAAUGGCAAGAUGUGAGCUGACUGUGGAGAUGUUUCGAGAGCUGGAGAGUGUCUUGACAUCUGGCAUGUCACGGCUUGUCAGUCUCACUGUAGGACUGAACGCAGUGGGCGAUACUGGAGCCAAACACAUGUGGGGGGCACUAAGACACAAAAACUGCAAACUGCAGCACCUGGAUCUGGAGAUGUUGUCACUGACUGACGCUUGCGUUGAGGAGUUAUGUGAAUCUGUUGCUGCCAGCAGCACUUUAUCGACUCUCAGCCUGAAAAUCAACGGCCUGACAGACUCAUCUGUACCACAGUUGGUCAAAUUAAUGCAGGACCAUCCAAUCAUGAGCAACCUAAAUCUGCAGUAUAAUGACUUCAGUGAGGAUGUUUUUGAAUUGAUGGAAACCUGCCCAAAAAUCCGUUACUAGAGAAAAAAACUUCAAGUUGGGAACACCUGGAUAUUUAUUCUGCUAAAUAGUACUGGAACCUCUUUGAGAAAAUGACCAUCUUAACUCUUUUGCUUUGAUUUUAUCAUUGGACUGUCAUUAUUGUGGUUCUUAUGCAUACUGUACAACCCUUAAAAAGGCAUUUAAUUCAGAACAUCUGACUUAAAGAAAUGGACACUUGGAACUUACAGUUACAGUAUAAUUAUGUAUUUCACAGUACAUGUUGAGAACAUAAUUCCAAGAACUAAUCCACUCUCAGAAUGGACGGUAACAGCUUUGGAGGCACUUAGAGAGAACGGUCAGUUUGACAUUUGAUGUUUUUCUUCAGAAUAAGUAUAUAGCUGUUGUAUACAAAAUUUGAACUGAGAGCCAAUAAUGACAUGACCUCACAGUAUUAUUGAGCAGAGAGCACCCUCCAGAGGAGUCAUACAACUUUGGUUGCUCUCACUGUUGCACACACACCCUGCUGAAAAGCAUGCAUUUCCAUGCUUGUUCUUUGGUUGUUGAUCUUGCUGGUUAUGCUAUGCUAUAGUUAGCAUAGUUACGCUAUUCACUAGCAAAACAUGCAUGGUUGCUGGUAAAUCUGGUCCACCAAAGACAUUUUGCUGGUUAAGCUAGAUAAGCAAAAGUUCAACCCAAAAUGUAAAAUUGCAAAAUGUAGUAUACAAGUCGUAUGUACUAAUUUUAUGGUGAUUUUACAUCCUUUUUGGAGCAUGACCGCCCCUGAUCACAUUAUGCUUUAAAUUAUAUGGAAAACAGCAGUCUGGACAUUCUGCAAAACUUCUGCCUUUGUGUUCAAUGAAGAAAGAAAGGCAUAUGGGUGUGGAAAGACAUGAGGAUGUUAAAGUCAAAAUUCGAAGACUUGCUAAAAGACAGAGACAGACACACGAACAGAGUAAAAGUGGAACUUUGAGAACAUUUUCGGGGUUCGGUGGAGACACCGAACUUGCAGAGUUUCUUCUCGACAGGUAAGCUCAAGUUAGCUCAUUACUGUCGAGCUUCAGAUAAAUUCGUAAGAUAUCGAGAAUAUAUAUUGUUAUGCUUACUAUUUACCAGAAGAACUAUCCUGUGUGGAGAAUGUGAGAUUACCUCUGUAUCCAUGGCAACGCAAAUACGUCAUAUGAGAGACCGCUUGGACUCCAUGCUGUCCUGAAGGGUUGGAUUAUAGUUCUUAAGGAUUAUAAAGUGCAUAAAUAUUGAUCUUUUUUUGCACCAAAACUGUUUGUAUCGCUUUAGAAGACAUUAAUUUAACAGCAGGAGUCGUAUCAAUGAAGUUUAUGCUGACUGUCUGUGAUUUUUGGAGCUUUAAAAGAGAAAUCGCCAUUCACUUGCAUUUUAAGGACCUACUGAGCUAUUACAUUUUUAAAUUUUUCUUCAAAGGUGUUCUGGUGAAGAAAGAAAGUCAUACACCUGGGAUAUCAUGAGGGUGAGUAAAUGAUGAGAGAAUUUUCAUUUUUGGGUGAACUAUCACUUUAAUAAAACUAUAGCAACUCACGCAACAUUUCCACUGAUAACAUCUUAUUCACAAUUUCCAAUUAAAGCUGAAAUGUGUCAUUUUUGUGCCGUUGAACGGAACUGCAAAAAUAAACAUUGCAUAUUAAGCUGGGAUAGGAGAAAGUAUUUUAACACCAAAACACUUCUGUUGCCUCACCUUGCCAGUCUUGGCAAAGGCCUCUGCGAUUGCGACCUCCAUGGCAUGUUGUAAUGAGGUCAGCGACGCCGCAGCUCUCUAGGAAGGUUGCAGGGGAGACCGAGCCGGCAGUGCAGAACAAAGCUAAUCAUCUCUAUCAGACCCAAUCUGAUCACUGCAGCCUUGGUAUUGUCACCAAACCCUAGUCCAUCACAGAAACCUGCUCCUACUGCCACUAUAUUCUGUAACGAAACAAAGAUUGCGGCAGGUGUUAGUUUGUGUGGAGCUUUGUACUCUCAGUCAGAGUAUUCAAUAUGUUUACCACAUAAUAUAUGGCGCUCUUGUAUGGCCUGCAGGUGUCUGGAUGUGCAUGUGCAGUUAUUUGGGGAAAAUAAAGAAUAUCUCAGCUUUGUUGGUCCAUACAAUUGAAGUCAACAGAGUCCAAAACUUUGAAGCCCAAAAAAACAUAUAAAGGCAGCAUAAAAGUAAUUCCAUAUGACUCCAGUUGUUAAAUUCUUGUCUUCAGAAGCGAUAUGAUAGAUGUGGUUGAGAAACAGAUCCAUUUUAAAAUCAUCCUUUUUUCUUUUCUUUUUUUUACUACAAAUCUCCAUUUUCAGACAGUCCUCCAAAGCGUUCUUUUCUCCUAAGAGGAGUUCUUUUGUUUUUGGCGAUUCACAUUCUUCGUGCAAAUUGCCACCUACUGGGCAGGGAGGAGAAUUUAUAGUAAAAAAGGACUUAAAUAUUGAUCUGUUUCUCACCAACACCAUAUCAUAUAGCUUCUGAACACAUGGAUUUAACAACUGGAGACAUAUUGAUUACUUUUAUGCUGCCUUUAUGUCUUUUUUGAGCUUCAAAGUUUUGGUCACCAUUCACUUAAAGGACCUACAGAGCUGAAAUAUUUUAAUAAUCUUCAUUUGUGUUCUGCAGAAGAAAGAAAGUCAUACACAUUCUGGUAUGGCAUGAGUGUGAGAAAAUAAUGAGAGAAUUUUCAUUUUUGGGUGAACUAUUCCUUUAAACUGCAUGCAGUGCCAACAUGAAACAGUGUUUGCAAGCUAUUUUAAUUCUAUAAUAUUUUUUUAUUAUUAUUAUAAUUUUUGGGGGGGCAGGGCUAGAUUUAUCCACUGGGAAUUGACUGGAUAAUGAAAAGUGGUCUCUAUAUGAUAGGUGGAUGUAGGGGAGGAGUUGAUGUCAUCCUGAAAGGACAGUCAUUUCAGAGGUGUUUCAAGUUAUAUUUUGAUGAAAGAUUACGAAGACCAACAUUUUUUUCGGAUCAAUAUUGUGUAUCUAUUGUGAAAGUAUAUAAUUUUGAUUUCAUGUUGAUUUAAACAUUGUAUAUUACAAAUAUAACGGAUCAUGUAUGGAAUUUGCAUUUUGAGCUAUUUUGUUCAGUCCCAAGGUAUAAAAUGGAGAAAUGCAGAUCGGCAGCAAACCUUCAGAGCACCACAAAUCUCCACCACAUCUGCUUCCUGUACAACUGUGACCCGGAAUUGAUCUGUCUGCAACACACCCUGAAUUUGAUCCCUGCAGCCUUACAAACAUCAAAACAGACAUAUAUGUACAUAAAGUUAACACUUAUAAAAAACACAUAUACAAAAAAAGAUGGCUUAUUUUACCAUUUAAAAUUAAACUACCUGUAGAAAUUUAAUUGGAUUUAUUUAUUCUUUUUUAUAUAUUUUAUUUGGUCUUUGAUUUGGGCUCACCAAUGGUGGUCUCACAAAAUGUAUCAUCUGCCACCUCACUGGCAAUAUUUACUCCCAUCAACACACUCAUAUUGAUGCCGAGCUUCUCGUGAAUCACCUCGGAGAUAUGCUUCAGUCCGUCAGGUCCUUCAUCUACCCCCUAAACACACACACACACACAUGCUGAGUCAUGAUUUCUGCUAGGUGUUUCAAAUGUGAGUCUUGUGAUCUUAGAAUGCAUUUUUUUUUUAUUUUUUUUUUUUACGCAAGACGCCUGAGAAACUGAAAAAUUUGAACAUACAAAUUACUUUCGUACCCACACUGUAAAAAAAAAAAAAACAUUUCUGUUCAUCAGUAUUUUUGUCUUGUUUUCCAUCAACAUCCUUAAAACAAGAUAAAGCAAAAAUAUGUAAGAUAAUUAGACAUGUUUUCAGAGAAUAUAUCUUUAAUUACUGUAAGUUUACCCUAUUGUCAAAUCAGCUGUUCUUGUUUAAAAGGGAUAGUGAACAUUUUGUCAUCAUUUACUCACCCUCAUGCCAUUCCAGAUGUGUAUGAAUUUCUUUCUUCUGCAGAACACAAACCAAGAUUUUUAGAUUUCGAUUUUUAAUCCAUACGACUCUAGUGUUUUAAUCCAUUUCUUCAGGAGUGAAAUUAUAGGUGUCGGUGAGAAACAGAUCAAUAUUUAAGUCCUUUAUUAAGUCCUUUUUUAAAAUUCUUCUCUGUGCCCAGUAGGAGGCGAUAUGCAAGAAGAAUGUGAAUCACCAAAUACACAAGAAGAAGAAAGUAAAAGUUAAAGUUGAGAUUGACUGGGCAGGGAGGAAAAUUUAUAGUAAAAAAGGACUUAAAUAUUGGUCUGUUUCUCACCCACAUGUAUCAUAUUGCUUCUGAAGACAUGGAUUUAACCACUGGAGUCAUAUGGAUUACUUUUAUCCUGACUAAUGUGAUUUUUGGAGUUUCAAAAUUUUGCCACCCAUUCAUUUGCUUUGUGUGGACCAAAACAGCUGAGAAAUUCUAAAAAAUCUUCAUUUGAGUUCAGCAGAUGAAAGAAAGUCAUGCACAUCUGGGAUGCAUUAGGGUGAGUAAAUGAUGAGAGAAUUUUCAUUUUUGAAAAAAAAAUAAAUAAAUAAAAAAUAAUUAAUUAAACUAUUCCUUGAAGCAAUAACUAUUUAUUUAAGCAUAAACCUCUCAAAAUGUAGUUUGAUUUGUUUAAAAUUUGAAGAAAAAAAAAUGGGCUAAAUUCAAGAUAAAUUCUCUAAAAAGAAGUCUUAUUAUCUUACACAUGUUUAGAUAUUUUGCCUGGAAAGCAAGACAAAAUACAUCUUUAGUGUACCGAAUGUACUCAUGAGUAUACGGGACCUUGAUAAGUGACAUUCCAAGUGCAUCUUGCUUGAUUUUGCCCUUCAUUGUAUAACAAAUGCGACCGAUGAACUGAUGUGGAAUCACAAAGAGCAGAAUGUCAGCACUCUUGGCAGCUUCAACCAGAUCUGGCACGGCCACCUGUGAGUGAGAGACAAGGCCAAAGGGAGGAGAGGUUGCGAGUGGAAUGCACAGAAGGAAAAAACAGGAGGAAAAAAAUCUGUUUGACACUGAAUGAAUGAAUAGAAAUGAAAUGAAAUGAGAAAUGAAUAGAAACAAAUAAAACCCUGUAACAAUGGAAUACAAUAUAGUCACCAAUGCUUUAAGUGAUCUUAUAUGAUCAUGUCCAGUAGGAGUUGUGUAGCUGUUUGAUUGACAUUGGCUCUUUUUUUUUUUUGUUUGUUUGUUUUUUUUUGGCAGGAUUAUAACUCCAUGUCAAGCCAUAUGUCACCUUAUUCAUGGAUAAAUCUUCCUUCUGGUUUGGUUACUGUCAUUGUGUCUAUGUUUGUGUCUGUGCCAACAGUUUUAAAGGCCUCUAGUCCAGUCCCGGGAUUGUGCCUGGAUUUCUGAACCUAAUUCUAACCUAACCAUUUGGCUGACUCAACCAUUUGGUCUGCUGUUAUAAUCAGGUCAUUAUCAAGGAGAAACCACAGACAGCUUUGUCAGCAUCUUACUAGUUGCUUAAGAGUGCAAAUGGAGUGUUUCCUUUGCAAUACUCCAAUUGCUUCCCAGAGGUUUAUGGAGAAACGUUUGUGGCUCAGCAUUCUUUUUUCCGACUUCUGUAUUGUGUUAACUUCCUCCAUAGAAGAGCAUAUGGAGCAGUAGAACACUUUUGCUGGUGCCUAAGCCAUACACCAAUACAGUAUAUACAGUUUAUAAACAUUUUUGUUUUUCAAAUUGUGGCUGAUUCCCAUUAACUGAUAUUAGGACAUUACUGUAUGUCCAUUUGGUUAAAAGCGAAGUGUUAUUUCUGCGCCACUGGCAGCACCAAACAGAAUUGCAAAAAUAAUGACUGUAUUCAAACAGGUUUCCCGAGCACCGCGAUUGGUCAGAUAAACACACAGUCCCGUCCCAAAUUGGUUGAACCAGUCUUGCUGUUUUGGGCCACUCAAAAAAACAGAGCAAUGUUUUGAUAUAGCUUACUUAUAAUUGUCUUUGUAUAUUAACAGCCAAAAAAUUAACAACUUAAAAUAUAUUAUUUUCUUUAUUCUUAUUUUACUACCCUGUUAAUAUUAUAUUAUUAUAAUUAUUUGUUGAAAUUGUAAAAAAUAUAUUAUUUUCUUUAUUCUUAUUUUACUACCCUGUUAAUAUUAAAUUAUAUUAUUAUAAUUAUUUGUUGAAAUUGUAAAAAAAUAUAUUAUUUUCUUUAUUCUUAUUUUACUAACCUGUUGUUAUUAUUAUAUUAUAUUAUUAUAGUUAUUGUUGAAAAAUGUAUCAAUUAUAUUGAAAUAUAUUUUUCUUAUUUUCUUCUUAUUUUCUUAUUUUUUUGAAUUAUUUUGUUUAUUUUAGGUGAAACUGAAAGCAUCUGAAGGGGGGCUUUUUAUUAAUAGAAUUAUAUUAUUAACAAUUAAUAAUAUUAAUUAAAGAAUAAUAUUAUGUAAUAUGAUCAAUAUUAUGUUAUUAAAGUUUUAAAUGGGUACUAAUAAAAUAAUUUGUCAUACUUUCUCAAAGUGGGAUGGAUCUGGGCUCUACUGGUAAAAAUAUCACCUAUCAAAAACAAAAAACACACACUUACUGCUCCAACAAUAAUCACCUCCCAUCUUAUAUUGAAAAUAGGAAGGAUAAUUAUUUCAGACAUUUUACUUUGUUACAAUACAAAGUUUCUUACGACAUUCUCCGGAAGCUUGUGUCCAAGCAAGUACUUGACAUUCUCAUGGUCUGUGUUUAUGAUCUCUGUAAGUUUGCGUCCAUUCACUGUCUCUUCAAACACCCACAUGUUAACCGUAGAGUCAAACUUUGAGUUAUUCUUUGUAUUUGAGCCAACUAUCUUCGCAAUAGCAGAACCCCUGAGCACAUGAGAGAAAGACAACCAGAGAUAAUGAUGUGAAAGUUUACAUGCAAUAUUAAAUAUUGUGAGUGCACAUCAAUAUUGUAGUACUGUUUGGGGAAAUUGAUUAUUCU